rnacentral:rRNA from 1 species
UAUGCAACCUGCCUAUAAGAGGGGGAUAGCCUUUCGAAAGAAAGAUUAAUACCGCAUAAUACUAUUGACCUGCAUGGGUUGACAGUUAAACUAAUUGGCUUAUAGAUGGGCAUGCGUUCCAUUAGAUAGUUGGUGAGGUAACGGCUCACCAAGUCAGCGAUGGAUAGGGGUUCUGAGAGGAAGGUCCCCCACACUGGUACUGAGACACGGACCAGACUCCUACGGGAGGCAGCAGUGAGGAAUAUUGGUCAAUGGGCGAGAGCCUGAACCAGCCAAGUCGCGUGAAGGAUGAAGGUCUUAUGGGUUGUAAACUUCUUUUAUAAGGGAAUAAAAAAGAUCACGUGUGGUCUAUUGCAUGUACCUUAUGAAUAAGCAUCGGCUAACUCCGUGCCAGCAGCCGCGGUAAUACGGAGGAUGCGAGCGUUAUCCGGAUUUAUUGGGUUUAAAGGGUGCGUAGGCGGUUUAUUAAGUCAGUGGUGAAAGUUUUCGGCUCAACCGGAAAAUUGCCAUUGAAACUGAUAGACUUGAGUGUAAACGAGGUAGGCGGAAUUCGUGGUGUAGCGGUGAAAUGCUUAGAUAUCACGAA